GUGUCCGUAGCUCAGUUGGAUAGAGCAACGGCCUUCUAAGCCGUGGGUCGGGGGUUCGAAUCCCUUCGGGCAUA
rnacentral:tRNA from 1 species